CCAGCUCCUGACACCUGAGUCACAUCUCCAGCAAAACUAAAACUGAAGAUCAGAGGUUUUGCUGCUGAAACCAACUGCCCAGUUCCCGAGUGCUCAGAGCCUGAACUAUCCUGGAAACCACUGUUGCCAAAGGCUCUGUUCCAGGUGCCCCUGCUCUGGAAUUCGUGGCUUCAUCACCCAAACUUCUGCAUUGAGUGAGAUACAAUGGAAAGAAUGUCGUGGCAUUGACUGUGGCUGCCCAGCCCCUCUGGGCUGUUUGCAGCCCCUGGGCAGAGGUCACAGCUGGGCCUGUGGCCAGGCUGAAGGAGCUCAGCUCCACAGGAUCGUCUCCUUCCUUUCUAGGAAUCCCCUUCAGAGUUCUCCUGCAGGUCACCUCUCCCUUGGCACUCAGUGAUGAGCACUUGGCUGUAAUUCCUAUGAAGGAACCUUCGGGAUCUGGCUGAGGCUGUGCCGUGCUGGAUCCUGCACUCAGAAAUGAUCUGUGCUCCCAGAACUGACUCUGGCAGUGUGGGAGGCACAUGAGGACACAGAGGGAACACGAAGAGAGAAGGGGGAAUGAUCUUUGGCCAGCUGUGGAGCUCAACUCUGCCUGCAGAGGAGCAGCCAGGCUCAGUCCUGCCCCCAGCUCUGGCAGUCAAAGCCUUGCAUUUGAACACUUCCAUAAACUUGGAGCAUUCCAGUGGCUGAAGGUCCAAUCCAGUACCAUGCAGAAAACUCACCUGUGGCUGCUUCCUCUCUUUACUAAAUCAGAGAAUGAACAGACCAAAGACUUUAAAAAAUUCUGGAACACAUAAAGUAUAACUUAUGCAAUAAAAUAAAAAAAAA